CGCGAACCAGAGGCAACGCGAUGUCUCGCCUCUUGUCAUUGAAAGUGCUCAAGAUCUAGUGCAGACCAUGUGGGAUUGUUAUCGUCGAAUAUACGCGGGCAGCAUACUUGCGUGAACGUUUUUUCCUUGCUGGCUGCUCGUUCUCUCGAGAUUCAAGGAUUCCAAACAUCACUUGACCCAGAUCUUCGUUAAACUUCGAC
rnacentral:misc_RNA from 1 species